rnacentral:rRNA from 1 species
UACGUAGGGGGCAAGCGUUGUCCGGAAUCAUUGGGCGUAAAGAGCGUGUAGGCGGCUUGGUAAGUCCGCUGUGAAAGUCCAGGGCUCAACCCUGGAAUGCCGGUGGAAACUGUCAGGCUCGAGUCCGGAAGAGGCGAGUGGAAUUCCUGGUGUAGCGGUGAAAUGCGCAGAUAUCAGGAGGAACACCAAUGGCGAAGGCAGCUCGCUGGGACGGUACUGACGCUGGAGACGCGAAAGCGUGGGGAGCAAACAGG